AUGUCAUGGUUAGGGCAGUUGGUGCAUAGCAUCUUAUAUCUAUCCCAUGCUUGGUAAAAAUUUUCAUCUUUUUGUUGUUGAAAAGCAGUAAUUCGUUGUCUUCCUUU
rnacentral:snoRNA from 1 species